AGAGUUUGAUCAUGGCUCAGGACGAACGCUGGCGGCGCGCUUAACACAUGCAAGUCGAACGGGGUUCAGCCUUCGGGCUGGAUUCAGUGGCGAACGGGUGCGUAACACGUGAGCAACCUGCCCCUGUAUGGGGGAUAACCCUGGGAAACCGGGGCUAAUACCGCAUGCGCUCAUUGGGUCUCCUGGCCUAUUGAGGAAAGUCCCUGAGAGGGGAUGUGCAGGGAGGGGCUCGCGGCGUAUCAGCUAGUUGGCGGGGUAACGGCCCACCAAGGCAACGACGCGUAGCCGGUCUGAGAGGACGACCGGCCACAUUGGGACUGAGAUACGGCCCAGACUCCUACGGGAGGCAGCAGUGGGGAAUCUUGCGCAAUGGGCGAAAGCCUGACGCAGCGACGCCGCGUGGGGGAGGAAGGCUCUUGGGUUGUAAACCUCUUUUGUCAGGGAAGAACACAAUGACGGUACCUGACGAAUCAGCAUCGGCUAACUCCGUGCCAGCAGCCGCGGUAAUACGGAGGAUGCAAGCGUUAUCCGGAAUUAUUGGGCGUAAAGCGUCCGCAGGUGGCUAAUCAAGUCUGCGGUCAAAGACCGGGGCUUAACCCUGGAAAGGCCGUGGAAACUGAUAAAGCUAGAGUACCGUAGGGGUAGAGGGAAUUCCCGGUGUAGCGGUGAAAUGCGUAGAGAUCGGGAAGAACAUCGGUGGCGAAAGCGCUCUACUGGACGGUGACUGACACUCAGGGACGAAAGCUAGGGGAGCGAAUGGGAUUAGAUACCCCCGUAGUC
rnacentral:rRNA from 1 species